GACGAACGCUGGCGGCGUGCUUAACACAUGCAAGUCGAACGGAAAGGCCUCUUUCGGGGGGUACUCGAGUGGCGAACGGGUGAGUAACACGUGAGUAACCUGCCCUUGACUUUGGGAUAACUUCAGGAAACUGGGGCUAAUACCGGAUAGGAGCUCCUGCUGCAUGGUGGGGGUUGGAAAGUUUCGGCGGUUGGGGAUGGACUCGCGGCUUAUCAGCUUGUUGGUGGGGUAGUGGCUUACCAAGGCUUUGACGGGUAGCCGGCCUGAGAGGGUGACCGGCCACAUUGGGACUGAGAUACGGCCCAGACUCCUACGGGAGGCAGCAGGGGGGAAUAUUGCACAAUGGGUGGAAGCCUGAUGCAGCAACGCCGGGUGCGGGAGGACGGCCUUCGGGUUGUAAACCGCUUUCGCUCAUGACGAAGCUUUGUGUGACGGUAGUGGGUAAAGAAGCACCGGCUAACUACGUG
rnacentral:rRNA from 1 species